CCUACGGGUGGCAGCAGUGGGGAAUAUUGGACAAUGGGGGGAACCCUGAUCCAGCCAUGCCGCGUGUGUGAAGAAGGCCCUCGGGUUGUAAAGCACUUUCAGUGAGGAAGAACGCCUGGUGGUUAAUACCCAUCAGGAAAGACAUCACUCACAGAAGAAGCACCGGCUAACUCCGUGCCAGCAGCCCGGUAAUACGGAGGGUGCGAGCGUUAAUCGGAAUUACUGGGCGUAAAGCGCGCGUAGGUGGCUUGAUAAGCCGGUUGUGAAAGCCCCGGGCUCAACCUGGGAACGGCAUCCGGAACUGUCAAGCUAGAGUGCAGGAGAGGAAGGUAGAAUUCCCGGUGUAGCGGUGAAAUGCGUAGAGAUCGGGAGGAAUACCAGUGGCGAAGGCGGCCUUCUGGACUGACACUGACACUGAGGUGCGAAAGCGUGGGUAGCAAACAGGAUUAGAUACCCCUGUAGUC
rnacentral:rRNA from 1 species